UCUUACAAAUGAGCAAAGAAAGUGGUUUCUUGAGAUGGAAUCUACUUUGGGUAAAGAUGCUGUGAA
rnacentral:pre_miRNA from 2 species